rnacentral:lncRNA from 1 species
ACCGUCAGAUUUGUCAGAAAAUCCAUAAAAAGAAGAAGCCCUAUUUUUCUCUAUUUUGAAUGAGCCUUCUCCCUCCCUUUUUUGGCCAUCAGCACUACCGCCCAUGGUGCCGCACCCAUGGUUCAUGACCCCCACCUCCCUAGCUUCCUUUUUCAGAGGUUUGGCCAUCUAUGAUCAGUCAGUGAUCGAAGAAAUCAAAGAA